rnacentral:lncRNA from 1 species
AUUUGUUGUUAGCUAUUAAGAGACUUGAACAUCUUUAUGUAAGAAAUUGCUCCAGUUUGAAGGAAAUAGUUGGAGGAGAAAAUAAACAUGAAGUGCCAGACGAUCAUUCCUGUUUGUUACCUCAACUCAAAACUCUCGAAUUGUACAACUUGAGGAGUCUAACAAGCUUUACCAAGGCGAUAUACCUAUCAGUUGUACUUUGGAAAAGAUUGAUGUUCGUGGAUGUAGGAAUUUGAAGAAGUUUCCCCUUGCACCACAAACUGCUUCCCAUCUACAAACUUUCAAAGC